rnacentral:tRNA from 1 species
GGUCUAGUGGUUAGGACAUUGGACUCUAAAUCAAAUGACUCAAGUUUAAAUCUUGG